rnacentral:rRNA from 1 species
UGGGGAAUAUUGCACAAUGGCGGAAACUCUGAUGCAGCGACGCCGCGUGAAUGAUGAAGGCCUUCGGGUUGUAAAGUUCUGUCCUUGGGGAAGAUAAUGACGGUACCCAAGGAGGAAGCCCCGGCUAACUACGUGCCAGCAGCCGCGGUAAUACGUAGGGGGCGAGCGUUGUCCGGAAUUAUUGGGCGUAAAGGGUUCGCAGGCGGUCUGAUAAGUCAGAUGUGAAAGGCGUAGGCUUAACCUAUGUAAGCAUUUGAAACUGUCAGACUCGAGUUAAGGAGAGGAAAGUGGAAUUCCUAGUGUAGCGGUGAAAUGCGUAGAUAUUAGGAGGAAUACCAGUGGCGAAGGCGACUUUCUGGACUUAUACUGACGCUGAGGAACGAAAGCGUGGGGAGCAAACAG